GAUGAACGCUGGCGGCAUGCCUAAUACAUGCAAGUCGAGCGAAUGGAUUAAGAGCUUGCUCUUAUGAAGUUAGCGGCGGACGGGUGAGUAACACGUGGGUAACCUGCCCAUAAGACUGGGAUAACUCCGGGAAACCGGGGCUAAUACCGGAUAACAUUUUGAACCGCAUGGUUCGAAAUUGAAAGGCGGCUUCGGCUGUCACUUAUGGAUGGACCCGCGUCGCAUUAGCUAGUUGGUGAGGUAACGGCUCACCAAGGCAACGAUGCGUAGCCGACCUGAGAGGGUGAUCGGCCACACUGGGACUGAGACACGGCCCAGACUCCUACGGGAGGCAGCAGUAGGGAAUCUUCCGCAAUGGACGAAAGUCUGACGGAGCAACGCCGCGUGAGUGAUGAAGGCUUUCGGGUCGUAAAACUCUGUUGUUAGGGAAGAACAAGUGCUAGUUGAAUAAGCUGGCACCUUGACGGUACCUAACUAGAAAGCCACGGCUAACUACGUGCCAGCCGCCGCGGUAA
rnacentral:rRNA from 1 species